UCGGGAAUUUUGGGCAAUGGGCGAAAGCCUGACCCAGCAACGCCGCGUGAGGGAUGAAGUAUUUCGGUAUGUAAACCUCGAAAGAAUGGGAAGAAUAAAUGACGGUACCAUUUAUAAGCUCCGGCUAACUACGUGCCAGCAGCCGCGGUAAUACGUAGGGAGCAAGCGUUGUUCGGAUUUACUGGGCGUAAAGGGCGCGUAGGCGGCGCGGUAAGUCACUUGUGAAAUCUCUGAGCUUAACUCAGAACGGCCAAGUGAUACUGCUGUGCUAGAGUGCGGAAGAGGCAACCGGAAUUCUUGGUGUAGCGGUGAAAUGCGUAGAUAUCAAGAGGAACACCUGAGGCGAAGGCGGGUUGCUGGGCCGACACUGACGCUGAUGCGCGAAAGCCAGGGGAGCAA
rnacentral:rRNA from 1 species